GACGUAGGACGCGAGCGUUGUCCGGAUUUAUUGGGCGUAAAGAGCUCGUAGGCGGCUUGUCGCGUCGUUCGUGAAAACUUGGGGCUCAACCCCAAGCUUGCGGUCGAUACGGGCAGGCUAGAGUUCGGUAGGGGAGACUGGAAUUCCUGGUGUAGCGGUGAAAUGCGCAGAUAUCAGGAGGAACACCGGUGGCGAAGGCGGGUCUCUGGGCCGAUACUGACGCUGAGGAGCGAAAGCGUGGGGAGCGAACAGG
rnacentral:rRNA from 1 species